rnacentral:misc_RNA from 1 species
AAGGAUCAUUACAAAUCCAUCGCGUCUCUCCCGAGACACCGUCUAAAUGUUCCGGGAUCACAUCGAGCGAGCGAGCGAGCCACUGGCUGGCUGGCUGGCUUGAUGCCCCGACCCCCCUUUAUAACCUAGUGUGACUGUUGCUUCAUAUGUAUUGCUUCUUUGUUGAACACAACAUGAGAACAACUUAUAACAAUGGAUCUCUAGGCUCUU